GGAUUGUAGCUCAGUGGCAGAGCACUUGCCUUAAACAUAUGAGGAACUGGGUUCAAUCCUCAGCACCA
rnacentral:tRNA from 1 species